UCAAGAUUGUAUCUGCGCAUGCUUGGAGUUAUGUAACUGUUGUCACGUUACCAAGAGUUACCAAGUAUGUAGAAAGUUUUUUAAACAAAGAGAUUCACAAGUUUUUUUUAAAUUCACUGAGCAACAUUGCGGGCAGGACCUUUUACUCCUGACCAAUCUGCCAAAACCACCGCCGCCUAUUGCUGCAACCACUGGCCGGAUUGUUCCAUCAAUCAAAUCUCAGGAAGUAGUUUGAAGAGGAGAAGGGAAGUAAUUUCUUCAAAGUAACUAGAAUAUAAUGAUCAACCUGAAGGUGGAGGGGAAGUAAGAUUACUAGAAAGCAGAAUUCUGCCAGACAACCACAGGACCCAAGAGACCUCUACAUGCUGUAACAUGGGCCUGGAUGGUGAGGCACAACUGCUUCUGGCUGCCUUACUGAAUAUUGCGGCCUUCAGUGGUACAGUAAGAGUCUCUACAUCUCUUUCUCGUAGCCAUUUAACAUGUCAUCAUGAGGCUCCAGUUCAGCAAUGCAUGCUUCCAGCAGGAUGCACAGACAACUAUGGUUUGUAUGCCCUACUGAAGGACCCUACUGUGCGGAAUAGGUGGUUGUAGUUCGUUGGUCCCCAAUGGUGAGACGAUCCAGUAUCUUUGAUGAGGGGCCAGGAGCUGAUAUACGCUGCUAUGCCCAUAAAUGUGGCUCCGGCAAAGACCUCACCUCUUGCCUGCUCACCAACGGUUGUCGAUGGGGAGAACAAAAUUAGAUACCUUUAUGGAGACAGCACUUGGGAGACUUCCAAGAUGAUAUGAUGAAGUCCAGACUGACGAGACAGGCUUGAUGCUGAUGUCUCUGAAUGGAUCAAGACCUUGCACUCAGCAAUAUAAUUAUACAGGACACAUCUAUUUGAAGUCUGAAUCCCGUUUGGGUGAAAGAUCGUCCAUUGACAGACUUCUUGGGGAAUGCUUGGCAGAUUAGCUGGUUAGCCUAGCUAUAAACGUAGCUGGCUAGCUAACUUCAACGGCAAUAACAGAAACACUUAACCGCUAAAACAUAUGGACUCCUGUAGAAAUCUACGCAGUGGUGAGGAAAAGCAUAGAGCUAAAUAUAUCAAAGAAAGAAAGUGCCAAUCCAAAGAUGGAUGAAAUGAAGCUGAGUAAUGAAAAAUAAAUGAAUAACAAAGUUAACAGCUUACGUGGAUAAAGCCAUCCAGGAUAAUCAUACAGUUUUGCUGACUCAACUGGAGAAUAAUAACAAGCAGCUACAUGACCACAUAGCUCUUGAAGUUGGAUGUCUCCAGACUCGUGUAGAAUUCCUAGAAUCUUGGAGAAUAGGCGCUGCCAAAACAACUAAGUUCCACUAAGACGUGUCUGUCAUAGUUGCAGGACUGCCAGCUGAUGAAAACGAGGACUUAAUCUCCAAGGUGAACCAGCUGAUAUUGGUAGGCUGCGAAACUGAGUUGAUUGCAGUUGAGAGGAUGGGGGAGAGAGGUAAAGGUCCUGGGGUCGUGAAGGUGGGGUGUCACCCCAUGAAGGAGAAAGUGGCGAAUAACAAUACUAAAAUCCUUAAACCCAUACGUUAUCUCAAUAAAUGAAACAUUUGCGUUGGCAAGAAACCUCUUUUACAUGCACUCAAUUAGUAUUUGGUAGCAUUGCCUUUAAAUUGAUAAACAUGGGUCAAACAUUUUGGGUAGCCUUCCACAAGCUUACCACAAUAAGUUGGGUGAAUUUUGGCCCAUUCCUCCUGACAGAGCUGGUGUAACUGAGUCCGGUUCGUACACCACCUUGCUCAUACACGCUUUUUCAGUUCUGCCCACAAAUUUUCUUUAGGAUUGAGGUCAGGGCUUUGUGAUGGCCACUCCAAUACCUUGACUUUGUUGUCCU